GGGCUUGACAUCCCACGAACCUGGGGGAAACCUCGGGGUGCCCGCAAAGGAGCGCGGAGACAGGUGGUGCAUGGCUGUCGUCAGCUCGUGUCGUGAGAUGUUGGGUUAAGUCCCGCAACGAGCGCAACCCUCGUUUCCUGUUGCCAUCAGGUUAAGCUGGGCACUCUGGAGAGACUGCCGGUGAUAAACCGGAGGAAGGUGGGGAUGACGUCAAGUCUGCAUGGCUUUUAUGUCUGGGGCUACACACGUGCUACAAUGGCCGGUACAAACCGUCGCGAUCCCGCGAGGGGGAGCUAAUCGGAGAAAGCCGGUCUCAGCUCGGAUUGCAGGCUGCAACCCGCCUGCAUGAAGUUGGAAUCGCUAGUAAUCGCAGAUCAGCAGGCUGCGGUGAAUACGUUCCCGGGCCUUGUACACACCGCCCGUCACAUCACGAAAGCCGGCUGUACUCGAAGUCGCUGAG
rnacentral:rRNA from 1 species